UACGUAGGGGGCGAGCGUUGUCCGGAUUUAUUGGGCGUAAAGAGCGUGUAGGCGGCCAAGCAGGUCCGCUGUGAAAACUCGAGGCUCAACCUCGAGACGUCGGUGGAAACCGUUUGGCUAGAGUCCGGAAGAGGAGAGUGGAAUUCCCGGUGUAGCGGUGAAAUGCGCAGAUAUCGGGAAGAACACCCGUGGCGAAGGCGGCUCUCUGGGACGGUACUGACGCUGAGACGCGAAAGCGUGGGGAGCGAACAGG
rnacentral:rRNA from 1 species